GAUGAACGCUGGCGGCGUGCCUAAUACAUGCAAGUCGAGCGAUUCGGGGACAGGUGAGUAAAACGUGGAUAAACCUCUCUAACACUGGGGUAACUUAGGGGAACAGGAGCUAAACACGGUACUUAUAUCUGUGUCCUUGCUGUGUUUGCGAGUUGGUAAGGUAACGGCUUACCAAGGCAACGAUGCAUAGCCGACCUGAGAGGGUGAUCGGCCACACUGGAACUGAGACACGGUCCAGACUCCUACGGGAGGCAGCAGUAGGGAAUCUUCCGCAAUGGGCGAAAGCCUGACGGAGCAACGCCGCGUGAGUGAUGAAGGUUUUCGGAUCGUAAAACUCUGUUAUUAGGGAAGCGGUACCUAAUCAGAAAGCCACGGCUAACUACGUGCCAGCAGCCGCGGUAAUUC
rnacentral:rRNA from 1 species